GGGCUUAUAGUAUAGUGGUAAUACAUCGCAUUCGCAUUGCGGAAACGCGGGUUCGACUCCCGCUAAGUCCA
rnacentral:tRNA from 1 species